CUGGCGGCGUGCUUAACACAUGCAAGUCGAACGAAGCACUCUAUUUGAUUUUCUUCGGAAAUGAAGAUUUUGUGACUGAGUGGCGGACGGGUGAGUAACGCGUGGGUAACCUGCCUCAUACAGGGGGAUAACAGUUGGAAACGACUGCUAAUACCGCAUAAGCGCACAGGAUUGCAUGAUCCGGUGUGAAAAACUCCGGUGGUAUGGGAUGGACCCGCGUCUGAUUAGCCAGUUGGCAGGGUAACGGCCUACCAAAGCGACGAUCAGUAGCCGACCUGAGAGGGUGACCGGCCACAUUGGGACUGAGACACGGCCCAAACUCCUACGGGAGGCAGCAGUGGGGAAUAUUGCACAAUGGGGGAAACCCUGAUGCAGCGACGCCGCGUGAGCGAAGAAGUAUUUCGGUAUGUAAAGCUCUAUCAGCAGGGAAGAAGAAUGACGGUACCUGACUAAGAAGCACCGGCUAAAUACGUGCCAGCAGCCGCGGUAAUACGUAUGGUGCAAGCGUUAUCCGGAUUUACUGGGUGUAAAGGGAGCGCAGGCGGUGCGGCAAGUCUGAUGUGAAAGCCCGGGGCUCAACCCCGGUACUGCAUUGGAAACUGUCGUACUAGAGUGUCGGAGGGGUAAGUGGAAUUCCUAGUGUAGCGGUGAAAUGCGUAGAUAUUAGGAGGAACACCAGUGGCGAAGGCGGCUUACUGGACGAUAACUGACGCUGAGGCUCGAAAGCGUGGGGAGCAAACAGGAUUAGA
rnacentral:rRNA from 1 species